rnacentral:rRNA from 1 species
UUUCCGUUGGUGAACCUGCAGAGGAUCAUU